GCCGUGGCUCAGUGGUAGAACAUCCGCUUGGCAUGUAGAAGGUCCCAGGUUCAAAUCCUGGCAUCUCCA
rnacentral:tRNA from 1 species